rnacentral:tRNA from 2 species
GGCCCCAUCGUCUAGCCCGGUUAGGACGGCAGGUUCUCAUCCUGUUAACAGCGGUUCAAAUCCGCUUGGGGUCA